rnacentral:piRNA from 1 species
AUUAUCGUUAGGCAAAUGUAGGGU